AUUGAACGCUGGCGGCAGGCCUAACACAUGCAAGUCGAGCGGAUGAAGGGUGCUUGCUCCUGGAUUCAGCGGCGGACGGGUGAGUAAUGCCUAGGAAUCUGCCUGGUAGUGGGGGAUAACGUCCGGAAACGGGCGCUAAUACCGCAUACGUCCUGAGGGAGAAAGUGGGGGAUCUUCGGACCUCACGCUAUCAGAUGAGCCUAGGUCGGAUUAGCUAGUUGGUGGGGUAAAGGCCUACCAAGGCGACGAUCCGUAACUGGUCUGAGAGGAUGAUCAGUCACACUGGAACUGAGACACGGUCCAGACUCCUACGGGAGGCAGCAGUGGGGAAUAUUGGACAAUGGGCGAAAGCCUGAUCCAGCCAUGCCGCGUGUGUGAAGAAGGUCUUCGGAUUGUAAAGCACUUUAAGUUGGGAGGAAGGGCAGUAAGUUAAAACCUUGCUGUUUUGACGUUACCAACAGAAUAAGCACCGGCUAACUUCGUG
rnacentral:rRNA from 1 species